GGAUUAAUACUGAAGUCUCUUUGGCAAUAAAACUGGAACAAUAUAGAGAAAAUUAGCAUGGCCCCUUCACAAGGAUGACAUGCCAAUUUGUGAAGUGUUCCAUAAGAUG